rnacentral:rRNA from 1 species
AGCCUACGGGGGGCAGCAGUGGGGAAUAUUGGGCAAUGGGCGCAAGCCUGACCCAGCAACGCCGCGUGAAGGAAGAAGGCUUUCGGGUUGUAAACUUCUUUUGUCAGGGACGAAGCAAGUGACGGUACCUGACGAAUAAGCCACGGCUAACUACGUGCCAGCAGCCGCGGUAAUACGUAGGUGGCAAGCGUUAUCCGGAUUUAUUGGGUGUAAAGGGCGUGUAGGCGGGAAUGCAAGUCAGAUGUGAAAACUACGGGCUCAACCCAUAGCCUGCACUUGAAACUGUAUUUCUUG